ACUCUCCUUAGAUUUUUCAAAGCUUGCCGCCAUUUUGCUGGAAACAGAGUGCGAAUAUCCCCACAUUGUUUCACUUUGACAUAUUCUAAUCUUUGUAAGAAGUCCUUUUGCGACCCAUGGCCAUGGGUGGUCAUCUGAUCAGAGGACAAUACUAUAUUUUCUAAACCCUCAAUGUUGCUAAAAUCAAUUAGAGACACAGUAGGAAACAACUGCUCAAAUGUCUUCGCAUUUAAGGAUGUCGCGCUGAUUCCACCCAAAUAUAAUCUUGUCGAGAUUGGGUAUGCUGUUAUUGAAUACCCAUUCCCUAACACUAUAUCAUAUUUGAGCAACCUGGGAAAAACAAAAUCUCUGGGAAUGCAUUCAACCUUCGGUAUCGUCAAUGAUAAU